GCGCUUGCUUCAGCAGCACAUAUAUUAAAAUUGGAACAAUACAGAGAAGAUUAGCCUGGCUAAGUUGCUAGAGCUGUUGAAGCCACCAAACUUUUU
ensembl:snRNA U6 U6 spliceosomal RNA